rnacentral:rRNA from 1 species
UAGGGAAUAUUGCACAAUGGGGGAAACCCUGAUGCAGCGACGCCGCGUGAGUGAUGAAGGCCUUCGGGUCGUAAAGCUCUGUCGUAUGGGACUAACAAAAUGAAGGUACCAUGCAAGAAAGGAUCGGCUAACUUCGUGCCAGCAGCCGCGGUAAGACGAGGGAUCCUAGCGUUGUUCGGAAUUAUUGGGCGUAAAGCGGGUGUAGGCGGACUUAUAAGUCAGGUGUGAAAUCCCAGGGCUCAACCCUGGAAGUGCACUUGAUACUAUUAAGCUAGAGUAUUGGAGAGGGCAGUGGAAUUCCUGGUGUAGUGGUGAAAUACGUAGAUAUCAGGAGGAACACCUGUGGCGAAGGCGGCUGCCUGGCCAAAUACUGACGCUGAGAUACGAAAGCGUGGGUAGCAAACAGGAUUAGAUACCCAUGUAGUCCCUGAGCGGGCUGGCAAGGCGCAU